GGACCAGACUCCUACGGGAGGCAGCAGUUAGGAAUUUUUGCGCAAUGGGCGAAAGCCUGACGCAGCAACGCCGCGUGAGGGAUGAAGGCCUUGGUUGUAAACCUCUUUUAGUCAGGGAAGAACACAAUGACGGUACCUGCAGAAAAGACACCGGCUAACUCUGUGCCAGCAGCCGCGGUAAUACAGAGGGUGCAAGCGUUAUUCGGAAUUACUGGGCGUAAAGAGCGCGUAGGCUGUUUGAUAAGUUUGAUGUGAAGCCCUGGACUCAAUUCAGGAAGUGCAUCGAAUACUGUCAGACUAGAGUAUAGGAGAGGAGAACGGAAUUCCUGGUGUAGAGGUGAAAUUCGUAGAUAUCAGGAGGAACAACAGUAGCGAAGGCGGUUCUCUGGACUAUUACUGACGCUGA
rnacentral:rRNA from 1 species